rnacentral:rRNA from 1 species
CCCUUAGAUGUUCUGGGCCGCACGCGCGCUACACUGACGAUGGCAACGAGUUUUUCCUUCGCCGAAGGUGUGGGUAAUCUUUUGAAACAUCGUCGUGCUGGGGAUAGAUCAUUGCAAUUUUUGAUCUUGAACGAGGAAUUCCUAGUAAGCGCGAGUCAUCAGCUCGCGUUGAUUACGUCCCUGCCCUUUGUACACACCGCCCGUCGCUACUACCGAUUGAAUGGUUUAGUGAGGACUCCUGAUUGGCGCCGCCGCCCCGGCAACGGAGCAGCGGACUGCCGAAAAGUUGUUCAAACUUGAUCAUUUAGAGGAAGUAAAAGUCGUAACA